GCGCAAAUGGAGUGUGCCGUCCGGUUGUUCCGAGCGACACACUCCCCGAGACUUGCGAGUCCCAUUCCGCAUUACCCCCGCUUUGCCUGACGAGACAGAGCGGCCGCAGGGUCAAGCAGGACGACACAUUUGCAGGGUCAUAGGUGUGUUGGAGUCUACCUCAGCUGUCUUCAGGCCACAGAUCCAUCCAUGUAUUUUCUGAGGCGCUUAUCCUCAUAAAGUUUGCGGGAGUGCUGCAGCCUAUCCCAGCUAUCUUCAGGCAGGAGGGUGACAGGAGUACUGAAGUCUAUCCCUGCUAUCUUCAGGCACUGGUAUCCUGCACACCCUAAACUGGUUUCCAGCCAAUCAUAAGGCAA